GCCCCAUGCAGGAGGCAGUGCCAGGCAGGACCCAGCAUGGACACGAAGGCCCCCACUCAGCUGCUGGGGCUCCUGCUGCUCUGGCUCCCAGGUGCCAGAUGUGACAUUGUGCUGACCCAGGCUCCAUCCUCUGUGUCCGCAGCUGUGGGAGGCACAGUCACCAUCAAGUGCCAGGCCAGUCAGAGUGUUAGUAGUUAUUUAACCUGGUAUCAGCAGAAACCAGGGCAGCCUCCCAAGCUCCUGAUUGGAUCUGGGACAGAGUUCACUCUCACCAUCAGCGACCUGGAGUGUGCCGAUGCUGCCACUUACUACUUGCUUUCGGCGGAGGGACCGAGGUGGUGGUCAAAGGUGAUCCAGUUGCACCUACUGUCCUCAUCUUCCCACCAGCUGCUGAUCAGGUGGCAACUGGAACAGUCACCAUCGUGUGUGUGGCGAAUAAAUACUUUCCCGAUGUCACCGUCACCUGGGAGGUGGAUGGCACCACCCAAACAACUGGCAUCGAGAACAGUAAAACACCGCAGAAUUCUGCAGAUUGUACCUACAACCUCAGCAGCACUCUGACACUGACCAGCACACAGUACAACAGCCACAAAGAGUACACCUGCAAGGUGACCCAGGGCACGACCUCAGUCGUCCAGAGCUUCAAUAGGGGUGACUGUUAGAGCGAGACGCCUGCCAGGGCACCGCCAGUGACCCUGAGGCCCAGCCUCGCCGCUCCCUCCCCUCAGUGGACCCAUUCCCACCACAGUCCUCCAGCCCCUCCCCUCCCGGCCCUCACCCCCUCCUUGGCUUUAACCUUGCGAAUGUUGGUGAGAUGGAUGAAUAAAGUGAAUCUUUGCA